UUCAGGGACACCUUCCUCAGGAGACGAGCGGUCAUAAAGCUUAACAAAGUCAAGUUGUGAGAAUGAAAUCGAAUAAGCUGGCAGCCUUUUUCCUCUUAACGUUAUCACUGAUCUUGCUGAUGUCCAGCAGUGAAGGGUUCACAGGAACAGUUCCAGGUAAAAGGGAUUCCUACAGAAUGGAGAUUCCACAGAACUACCGGCGGAGUUUGUGCGCAGCAGCACGUAACCUGGACUGCAAGCGAGUGCUGGACCCCGACUCUGAGAAUUGAUGAAAAGAAGGAUUCUUCGAAAGCCUCUCUUGGAUCUAAGUCGUUGCACAGUUCUUUAAGAAGAUUAGAAACUAAAUGAAUGAGUAGUGAAAGAAUAAAACAUGUUAAACAUUUA